rnacentral:rRNA from 1 species
GACAGAGGGUGCAAACGUUGUUCGGAAUUACUGGGCGUAAAGCGCGUGUAGGCGGCUAAGUAAGUCGGGCGUGAAAUCCCACGGCUCAACCGUGGAAAGUGCACUCGAAACUGCAUAGCUAGAGUCCUGGAGAGGAAGGUGGAAUGCUUGGUGUAGAGGUGAAAUUCGUAGAUAUCAAGCGGAACACCGGUGGCGAAGGCGGCCUUCUGGACAGUGACUGACGCUGAGACGCGAAAGCGUGGGGAGCAAACAGGG